rnacentral:rRNA from 1 species
UAGCAUAUCAAUAAGCGGAGGAAAAGAAACCAACAGGGAUUGCCUCAGUAACGGCGAGUGAAGCGGCAAAAGCUCAAAUUUGAAAUCCCCCCGGGGAGUUGUAAUUUGAAGAUUGCGUCUUGGAGGCGACCGUGUCUAUGUUCCUUGGAACAGGACGUCACAGAGGGUGAGAAUCCCGUGCGGCACGGCCCCCGGCUCCUUAUAAGGCGCUCUCGACGAGUCGAGUUGUUUGGGAAUGCAGCUCAAAGUGGGUGGUAAAUUCCAUCUAAAGCUAAAUACAGGCGAGAGACCGAUAGCGAACAAGUACAGUGAUGGAAAGAUGAAAAGCACUUUGAAAAGAGAGUGAAACAGCACGUGAAAUUGUUGAAAGGGAAGGGCAUGCCGUCAGAUUGUCAGUGUGGGUAAGAAGCGGGGUACAAAGACUGUGGAACGUGGCCCUCGGGUGUUAUAGCCGCAGUUCAUGCCCCGUCUCUUUCCGAGGCCUGCUUUGAGGACACCGACGUAAUGACGGUACGCCGCCCGUCUUGAAACACGGACCAAGGAGUCUAACGUCUAUGCGAGUGUGUGGGUGUCAAACCCAAACGCGUAAUGAAAGUGAACAGAUGAGUUUCAUCAUCGACCGAUCCUGAAGUGUUCGGAUGGAUUUGAGUAAGAGCAUAGCUGUUGGGACCCGAAAGAUGGUGAACUAUGCCUGAAUAGGGUGAAGCCAGAGGAAACUCUGGUGGAGGCUCGUAGCGGUUCUGACGUGCAAAUCGAUCGUCGAAUUUGGGUAUAGGGGCGAAAGACUAAUCGAACCAUCUAGUAGCUGGUUCCUGCCGAAU